AAUAUUAUAUAUUUUUAUAUUAUUAUUUUUAAUUCAAUUUUUAGUAUAAUAAAGAAAUAAUUAUAAUUUUACAUAAUUUACUGUUAAGGUUAAUUUUAAUUGUUUUAAUAUUAUUUAUAGUACCUUUUGUAUCAGGGUUAAUUGAUUUUUUAAUUUAUAUUUAUUAUCCCGAAUUAAGGAUAUUUAUAAUUAAAUUUUUUUUACAUGUUUUAUAUUGUUAAUUAAUUUAAUUUUAGUAGUUAAAAGUUAAUCGUUCCUUGAAUAUAUCUGGUUUUAUGGUAAUUAAAUUUAAUUUAGGUUUAUUUUUUUAGGCUUAUAUAAUUAGGGAUAAUCUUAAUUUUUUGUUAAAAUUUAUUUUCAUUUAUUUUUUUUAUCUUUAGUAUCUUUGAAUUUAGUUCGUAAUAGAUUUGAAUAUAUUUAUUACAAUUUUGUAUUUAUUUAUCUUUAUACUGUAAUUAUUUAAUUAAUUUUUAUUUAUUUUUGUUAAUGAUUAAAUUAGUAUAAUUUUAACAUAUUUAUUUAUGAAUUCGACAAAUUUAAUUUCCAACUGUUUAUCAAAAACAUUUCUUUAAGGUUUAUAUUUAAAGUAUAUCCUGCCCUAUGAAAUAUAAAUUAAAUGGCUGCAGUAUCUUGACUGUGCAAAGGUAGCAUAGUAAUUAGUUUCUUAAUUAGGGGCUUGUAUGAAUGGAUUAAUGAGAAAUUUAUUUUAUUAUAAUUAUUUUUAAAAUUUAAUUUUUGAGUUAAAAUGCUCAAUUAUAUUAUUGGGACGAUAAGACCCUGUAGAACUUUUAAUGAGUAUUUAUUUUUUUUAUAUUUUGGGUUUUAUUAUUAUAUUAUUUACUUUUUUUUUACUGGGGUGGUGAAUAAAAAUUUAACUUUAUUUAAUUUAAUCAUUAAUUUAUGUUUAUAUUUGAUCCAUAUUAAAUGAUUAUAAGAUUAAGUUACCUCAGGGAUAACAGCGUAAUUUUAAUGGAAAGUUCUUAUUUAUAUUAAAGUUUGCGACCUCGAUGUUGAAUUAAGAUUAAAUUAAGGGGUAGGUUCUUUAAUGUUGGGUCUGUUCGACCUUUAAAUUCUUACAUGAUUUGAGUUCAAACCGGUGUAAGCCAGGUUGGUUUCUAUCUAAUUAUUUAUAAAUCUUUUUAGUACGAAAGGACCAUUAGAUUCUAUAUUAUAGUAUAUUUGAAUUUCAU
rnacentral:rRNA from 1 species